CUGUUUGCUAGUGAUUUCUACAGACAGUUUACCUGACAGUAAAAGGUAGAAGGAACUUUGUCAGUAUGCACUCUGUAAUGCAAUCAGUCUUGGCCCAACUUGUGUGAGAACAGCAAACAGGAUUAAUAACUAGCUCCGGCUACCUCCUGCUGGCACUAGUAAACUCCUUAUUCACUUUUGCGUUUUGUUACCAAUAGCUAUAAGUGAAUACUCUGUUAAUCUCUAUUAGAAAUUCCUGAUUUAUACGCCAAAGGACACAGGCACAGAAGGCACGUUGGUUUUGAGGGCUGACAUCUUGGAUCACAGUUUUAAUAACAUGUUUUUUUGUUUUUGUUUUUGGCACAUUUAGUAAAUGAGAUUGGGCCACCAGGUUAGAAAGCUGGAAUGUAUGAAUUCCAAAAAGGGAGUUUUCAAAGUAUUACAUUAACCAUAAAAUGUGCGUCAUAUAUAAAACAAAAUUAGCAUCAGAUAAGCAGAUAUAGUAGG